rnacentral:rRNA from 1 species
CCUACGGGGGGCUGCAGUGAGGAAUAUUGGUCAAUGGGCGAGAGCCUGAACCAGCCAAGUAGCGUGCAGGAUGACGGCCCUAUGGGUUGUAAACUGCUUUUAUGCGGGGAUAAAGUGAGGGACGUGUCCUUCAUUGCAGGUACCGCAUGAAUAAGGACCGGCUAAUUCCGUGCCAGCAGCCGCGGUAAUACGGAAGGUCCGGGCGUUAUCCGGAUUUAUUGGGUUUAAAGGGAGCGUAGGCCGUGGAUUAAGCGUGUUGUGAAAUGCAGGUGCUCAACGUCUGCACUGCAGCGCGAACUGGUUCACUUGAGUGUGCGCAACGCAUGCGGAAUUCGUCGUGUAGCGGUGAAAUGCUUAGAUAUGACGAAGAACUCCGAUUGCGAAGGCAGCUUGCGGGAGCACAACUGACGCUGAAGCUCGAAAGUGCGGGUAUCGAACAGGAUUAGAUACCCCUGUAGUC